CACACAAUCUCAUGUAAAGGUUGUGUUUAUUCUGCAGGUGUCAGUGGAGCGACUGUAGUGACUCAGAGUCCAGUAAUCACAGUCAGUAAAGGAGAAACAGCUAAACUGGACUGUAAUCUGGGGACAGUAACUGAUUCUUCUGCUAGAUGGUACAAACAGACUCCAGCAGGAAUUCAGCAUGUGUUAAGAUUUCGUCAUGACUGGAGCUCAGUUAAAUAUGGAUCUGGUUUCUCUGCUCCUAAAUUCACAUCAAAACAUUCAUCUAAAUCAGAUUAUAGUCUGAUCAUCAGUAAUGUGGAUGUGGAUGAUUCUGCAGUGUAUUACUGUAAGACAUGGGACAGCUCUGUUAGCGAGUACGUAUCACAGUGAUUCACAGCAUGACAAAAACCUCCUCACUGCUCACAUUCACUUCUGCUUCUAGACAAACAGAUGAAAAACAUGAAGCGUUUUCAGCGUCACAUUUCAGACUGAGGAGAGUUUUGUACAGCAGAACAUAUGAAAUGUAUCACUGUGGUAUUCGGACAAGGAACAAAACUCAUUGUGAAUGAUGCUGCUGCUGCUGCUCCUGUGCUGAACAUCCUCCGUCCGUCCAGAGAAGAGCUGAGCUCCAGUAAACUCACUCUGGUGUGUCUGAUCAAUCACAUGUCUGGGGCUUUUGCUGAUGUGCGUUGGUUUGUGAACGAGAACUCAGUUACUGAAGGCGUCUUCACUGGAUCUGCUGAACAGCAGCCUGAUAAGAAAUUCAAGAUGAGCAGUUAUUUAACCCUUGAGAGCUCAGAGUGGGACAAAGACACACAGCUGACAUGUGAAGCAUCUGCUGCCUCCAAAACCACCAGAAAAAGCAUCAAGAAAUCUGACUGCAGUGACUGAAUGCGAAGAAUUUGAUGUGCUGUUUGAUUUUCUAUGCUAGCGUGUAAGAAUAUUUCCUGGCGUGGUGUAAA